GCGCUCACGCUCCACCUCCCCGACGGUGCGGGCGAGACGGGCCGGUGGUGCGCCCGACCCCGAGGGGCCGGGAUCCCACCUCAGCCGGCGCGCGCUGGCCGUCACUUUCAUUGCGCCACGGGGUUUUAUCAACAGAUCGGA